GACGAACGCUGGCGGCGGGCCUAAUACAUGCAAGUCGAACGCAGUGGGGACGGGUGAGUAACACGUGGGUAACCUCCCAUCAGAGGGGAUAACACUUGGAAAAAGGUGCUAAACCGAUACGGAUGGAGGGACCCGCGGGGCAUUAGCUAGUUGGUGAGGUAACGGCUCACCAAGGCGACGAUGCAUAGCCGGCCUGAGAGGAUGAUCGGCCACACUGGGACUGAGACACGGCCCAGACUCCUACGGGAGGCAGCAGUAGGGAAUGUUCGGCAAUGGACGAAAGCCUGACCGAGCAACGCCGCGUGAGUGAAGAAGGUUUUCGGAUCGUAAAACUCUGUUGGUAGAGAAGCGGUAUCUAACCAGAAAGCCACGGCUAACUACGUGCCAGCAGCCGCGGUAAUAC
rnacentral:rRNA from 1 species